AUGUUGCUAACGGUAACUAGCUUGAUGUACAAAAAAGACGGAAGAAAACGGUAAACUAUUGCUAACGGAGAAAAGGGAGAGAAAAACAUGGUUAAAUUGUACAAAAACGAAUGGUUUUAGCUACAGUCGACAGGGGAACAAGCUCUUACGUUGGUACGUUGUUUGAUACACGGCAAGGAAUAAUAAAGGUCAUUCAACAACCAUCAGUUCUGGCCUUGUCAGUUUGACUGGAUGCUACAGUAAGAGCUUGACCGCUGCCAUUUUGCUACACCACAAGGGCUCAAGGUUUAACGGCAAUUCCCACAACGUCCAGCAGAUGGCAGAAGCAGGUCAGAGAAUAAAACGGUGAAAGACAUAAGGAAAAUAAAGUUGAAAUGGAGGAUUCAGAAGAAGACAUUAAUGAACAGUUUGAAAACAAAGAACAAAUAUUAAAUGAGCUGCAAGAUAAAGCUCAAAGUGACUCCACGGUUCCAAGGCGUUCAGAAAGAGCCAAGGUGCCAACGGAAAAAAUGCUAACUUAUCAGAGGGAAGAGAUAAGUAAAAAAGAAAAAAGACUAUUAACUCUUUAUGAACAAUGGAAAAUACGAGUGCCAGAAACAAGAGAAAGAUUAAAGUUGGACAUUUCAGAGAAAGAAAUGGCAGAUCUUGCAGAUGAUGUAGAGCAAAGAAAAGAUGAACUGCUAAAGUUGUACACUGAAAUGAGAAGUCACAUUGCACCUUCAUCAGACAUACGAAGAAAAACCGAUGCAUGUGAAGCAGUUACUCAUGACAUCGUGAAAGUCAUCCUGGAAAGAAUAAGUGGUGUAGAUGGAGCUUUUGAUGCAGAAUAUGAAAGAAAACGUCUACGGAGACUAUUAGAACAUGAUUAUGCCCAAUCCAUCUAUGGUUCAACUGCAGCAUCGAAACGUAGCCAACUGUCUUCAGCCUCACAUCUUGCUUCAAAACGAGCAGAUGCAGCAGCAGAACUAGCAGCAAAGGAAGCAGAGUACAAGAUUGUACAAGAGGAACAAAGACAGAAGAAAUGGAUAAAGGCUCUAGAAGAGGAGCAUAAGAAACAAAUGGCAGUUCAAACAUCCGAGCUGGAACGCCUGAAAGCCAAAAGGGAGGUGGAAGCCGCUCGCGCCAGGUUGGACGUCUACAACAGAGAGUUAUCACAACUUGAUGAUGCAUAUUCAGUAAAGAUGGAAAAGGUGAACCCAGAGCACACACCCAAACACACUGUACCAUCAUACACCAUACCGGCGCCAACAGCCCCUCCUAGUGUCAGCCAGCUUGCACAGGCGGUACAAGGCAGCAUAAGAAUAAAUAGACUCCCCAUGCCAGAACCAACAAUGUUUAGUGGUGAGCCAAUAAAAUUUAGUGAAUGGAAAUCCACUUUCAUGUCACUUAUUGAACAAACUGGCAUGUCAGCAGCAGAUAAACUGUACUAUCUAAAAAGGUAUGUAACUGGCUCAGCUCGCAAGUGCCUUGAAGGGACUUUCUUCAGAAAUGAUGAAGAAGCAUAUAACGACGCUUGGGCAAAGUUAAACCAAAGGUACGGCCAGCCAUUCGUGCUACAAAGGGC
ensembl:lncRNA